rnacentral:rRNA from 1 species
GACGAACGCUGGCGGCGUGCCUAAUACAUGCAAGUUGAGCGCUGAAGGUUGGUACUUGUACCGACUGGAUGAGCAGCGAACGGGUGAGUAACGCGUGGGGAAUCUGCCUUUGAGCGGGGACAACAUUUGGAAACGAAUGCUGAUACCGCAUAAAAACUUUAAACACAAGUUUUAAGUUUGAAAGAUGCAAUUGCAUCACUCAAAGAUGAUCCCGCGUUGUAUUAGCUAGUUGGUGAGGUAAAGGCUCACCAAGGCGAUGAUACAUAGCCGACCUGAGAGGGUGAUCGGCCACAUUGGGACUGAGACACGGCCCAAACUCCUACGGGAGGCAGCAGUAGGGAAUCUUCGGCAAUGGACGAAAGUCUGACCGAGCAACGCCGCGUGAGGGAAGAAGGUUUUCGGAUCGUAAAACUCUGUUGGUAGAGAAGAACGUUGGUGAGAGUGGAAAGCUCAUCAAGUGACGGUAACUACCCAGAAAGGGACGGCUAACUACGUG